rnacentral:rRNA from 1 species
GCCAGACUCCUACGGGAGGCAGCAGUGGGGGAUAUUGCACAAUGGGGGGAACCCUGAUGCAGCGACGCCGCGUGAAGGAAGAAGUAUCUCGGUAUGUAAACUUCUAUCAGCAGGGAAGAAAAUGACGGUACCUGACUAAGAAGCCCCGGCUAACUACGUGCCAGCAGCCGCGGUAAUACGUAGGGGGCAAGCGUUAUCCGGAUUUACUGGGUGUAAAGGGAGCGUAGACGGCCAGACAAGUCUGAAGUGAAAAUCCAGCGCUUAACGUUGGAAGUGCUUUGGAAACUGCCGGGCUGGAGUGCAGGAGGGGCAGGCGGAAUUCCUAGUGUAGCGGUGAAAUGCGUAGAUAUCAGGAGGAACACCGGCGGCGAAGGCGGCCUGCUGGACCGUGACUGACGUUGAGGCUCGAGAGCGUGGGGAGCAAACAGGAUUAGAUACCCUCGUAA